GUAAACUUUGACAACUCACCUUGUGCUCUGUAAAUCUGAUGAACAUUUCUGUAUUAAUCUAUGAACUCUUUUUCCCAGUAACUCAUAUGCAUGGAAAUUGUGUGUGUAACUUUGAAGGAUGAUGUUACAGUAAAACAAGUUACUAUGCAACAAAAAGCAAGUUGCCAGCCAACAAUUUGGACUUCUUAGCUAGUGAGAAGACAUAGAAAAAAUAUUCACAUCCGACAAUGAUACAGAAUGAGAAUAUACAUCAUAUUACAGAGGAUCAUCAGGCUGAAGGGGCUAAAGAGGAAGAAUGGAUGGCAAAAUGUGAUUCUACUGCUAAAAAUUCUGGUUCUGAGUAGCACUAAGUAAAUCUGGGGUAAUUCAAGCCACUUGAGUGGAAUUGAGAAGUGCAGCAAAAAGAUCUAACUUACACUGCCUGGGACUUUAUGUAACAGUCAUCACAGUCAAAGGAAUAAUUCCCCAUCCACUUUUCUGGAUCUUUCUUUAUAAUACCUUCCCCCAUCCUUUAGGCACAAUAUAACUUCUACAAGGUAGAAUGAUAAGACAUAUAGACAACAACAAUCAAACAAUAAAAGUGAUUUCAGCCUGAAA